UACAGAGGGUGCGAGCGUUAAUCGGAAUUACUGGGCGUAAAGCGUGCGCAGACGGUCACGUAAGUCGGGUGUGAAAGCCCCGGGCUCAACCUGGGAAUUGCAUUCGAGACUGCGUGGCUAGGGUGCGGAAGAGGGAAGCGGAAUUUCCGGUGUAGCGGUGAAAUGCGUAGAUAUCGGAAGGAACACCAGUGGCGAAAGCGGCUUCCUGGUCCAGCACCGACGUCAGGCACGAAGCGUGGGGAGCAACAGG
rnacentral:rRNA from 1 species